rnacentral:ncRNA from 2 species
UGCAACCAAGGGCGUGAUGGUGCUGCUGCCGAAACUCGGCAGCGGCUGAAAAGGGAACGCGGUGAGGAUGCCCGAAAGGGGCCGAUGCCGUGGCUGCCCCCGCAACUGUGAGCGGAAAGCGCAUCCACAACAUGUCACUGGCCGGGAGGCCGGGAAGACGUGGAUGCGCCGCGACCCGCGAGCCAGGAGACCUGCCAUCGAACCGAUCAACCA